CCAAUAGCGUAUAUUAAAGUUGUUGCAGUUAAAAAGCUCGUAGUUGAAUUUCGAGAUCAAUAUGUCGGUCGUGCUUAGGUACGUACUGGUAUUAUUGAUUUCUCCUUUCUGAUGAACCAUAAUGCCAUUAAUUUGGUGUUAUGGGGAAUCAGGACUGUUACCUUGAAAAAAUUAGAGUGUUUAAAGCAGGCUCACGCUUGAAUACAUUAGCAUGGAAUAAUGAAAUAGGACGUUUGAUUCUAUUUUGUUGGUUUCUAGGAUAGACGUAAUGAUUAAUAGGGAUAGUUGGGGGAAUUAGUAUUCAAUUGUCAGAGGUGAAAUUCUUGGAUUUAUUGAAGACUAACUACUGCGAAAGCAUUUGCCAAGGAUGUUUUCAUUAAUCAAGAACGAAAGUUAGGGGAUCGAAGACGAUUAGAUACCGUCGUAGUCUUAACCAUAAACUAUGCCGACUAGGGAUCGGAUGAUGUUAAUUUUUUAAUGACUCAUUCGGCGCCUUACG
rnacentral:rRNA from 1 species